rnacentral:RNase_P_RNA from 1 species
GAGCGACGGAGGGCGGCCUCCCGAGAGGAGGAAAGUCCCCCCACCUAAAAGGCGGGGUGCCGUAAGGCACCGUGCCGAGAGGCACGGCAACGGAACAGAAACGAUACCCGUUUGGGGAAAUGCGAGGAUGCCGAAAGGCUGAGGUCACCCAAGCGGGAUGAAACGGCCGUCCCCGCUGGUGCAAGCCGAAAGGCGCUUAGAUUAAUGCCGCCGUGAACAGAAGGGGGCUUACUCCCGUCACUC